rnacentral:lncRNA from 10 species
UGCUGAAGGGGUCAUUUUCACAGAAAUCGUUUCCUGAAGAUUCUGCUAAAGGCAGAGAUGAAGAAGCAUGAUCCUCAUCUAAGAAGUUAAUCCUCUCAGCAGAAAGCUCAGUGACUUGGCAAGGAGGACAGGUGCCCAGAUGGCUUUGUACUACCCGGCUCUCCCUACUCCUGCUGGUAGUUCUUGGAAUAACUGUAGAAUAUACAGAGACCGCAACAUCCUAAGAAAAAGCUUGCCAACCCCUGAUUCAGAGAAAAGACAUAUGAACUUGGACGAGCUCAAACACUGGUCCAUCCAUGGAGGUGGACUGGUUGUUUGUAGUGUUGUUCUUGAACUUUCCCAUGUCUGCACCAUAACCCACAGUUCCUGAAGCCAAGAUGAACAUUUAAAUCAGCAGACUUCAGGUAAAGGAGAUCUCCUUCCUGGAUGUGAGUGGGCCACAUCCAAUCAGUGGAAGACCUGGACAGAACAAAAAGACUCGUGUCUCCUGAGCAAGAGGGAAUUCUGCCAGAAAACGGUCUUUGGACUUCACCUGUAACAUCAACUCUUCCCUGGGUCUCCAGCCUGCGGGUCCACCCUGUGGACUUCGAAAUUGUCAGCCUCCACAAUUGCAUGAGCUGAUCCCUUGAAAUAAAUCUCUCUCUCUCUCUCUCUCUCUUUCUCUUUCUCUCUCCACACGCCCUAUUGACUCUAUUUCUCUGGAAAAACCCUGACAAAUACAGUGAGUGAGCCCAGGGCAGAGCCACACAGUUUCAAACUGCGAGAGGACAUGAGAAGUCCACAUUCAGUCUCCAAGUUGGUCUCACAAGAACCUGAGACUGAGUGAGCACCUGCCUUGCUGUCAUUAAUACAAUCAAGACUUUGUUUUUGUUGGUUUUUUUUAUUUUCUUGCUUGUUUGUUUGUUUUUUUGUAGAGAGGAGGUUUUGCCAUGUUUCCCAGGCUGAACUCGAACUCCUGGGCUCAAGUGAUCCACACACCUCAGCCUCCCAAAGUGCUGGGAUUACAAGUGUGAGCCACCGCGCAUCCUGCCACAAUUAGGACUUUGAUCUCCAUUUUGGCACCUCUGAAUCUUAAACACUUAUCACAGUAAUGUCAGUGGGGAUCUGAAAUUCAUUGUGACAAAGAUGUAAAGGAGAGUGGCCUGUAGAAGUAUUUUUCCCAGAGAUAUUUGGAUUUCAAAAUGGAACAAAGUGUACUGUGUUUCCUAGUGGCUUUA